CAGGGCUUUAUAAAGCUGCGCACAAGCGACCAGGGAGCUUAGCGAACAGGAGCUGCUAACAGGGAGUUUUGCAAGGGAGUUCUCCAGGUGAAGGAGGAGCACAGACAGCAUCUGUGGGGUAAGUGACUGUCUGCAGUGUUUGGGUUUGUGUGUGUGUUUGGGGGUUACUUGCUGUGUGCUGAGCUUGUGUUUGUCAGUCUGUUUGGUUUGUUUGUUUGAAGGACCGUGUGCUGUAGCUGGCAGUUGGAGGUGGAGCUACUAGGAAGGUUUGAAAGCUAGAAGCCUCUGGUAAUUGGCUGAGCCUUAACCAGUGGGCGGGGCAUUCACUCAGGCCAGGGCUUUAUAAAGCUGCGCACAAGCGACCAGGGAGCUUAGCGAACAGGAGCUGCUAACAGGGAGUUUUGCAAGGGAGUUCUCCAGGUGAAGGAGGAGCACAGACAGCAUCUGUGGGGUAAGUGACUGUCUGCAGUGUUUGGGUUUGUGUGUGUGUUUGGGGGUUACUUGCUGUGUGCUGAGCUUGUGUUUGUCAGUCUGUUUGGUUUGUUUGUUUGAAGGACCGUGUGCUGUAGCUGGCAGUUGGAGGUGGAGCUACUAGGAAGGUUUGAAAGCUAGAAGCCUCUGGUAAUUGGCUGAGCCUUAACCAGUGGGCGGGGCAUUCACUCAGGCCAGGGCUUUAUAAAGCUGCGCACAAGCGACCAGGGAGCUUAGCGAACAGGAGCUGCUAACAGGGAGUUUUGCAAGGGAGUUCUCCAGGUGAAGGAGGAGCACAGACAGCAUCUGUGGGGUAAGUGACUGUCUGCAGUGUUUGGGUUUGUGUGUGUGUUUGGGGGUUACUUGCUGUGUGCUGAGCUUGUGUUUGUCAGUCUGUUUGGUUUGUUUGUUUGAAGGACCGUGUGCUGUAGCUGGCAGUUGGAGGUGGAGCUACUAGGAAGGUUUGAAAGCUAGAAGCCUCUGGUAAUUGGCUGAGCCUUAACCAGUGGGCGGGGCAUUCACUCAGGCCAGGGCUUUAUAAAGCUGCGCACAAGCGACCAGGGAGCUUAGCGAACAGGAGCUGCUAACAGGGAGUUUUGCAAGGGAGUUCUCCAGGUGAAGGAGGAGCACAGACAGCAUCUGUGGGGUAAGUGACUGUCUGCAGUGUUUGGGUUUGUGUGUGUGUUUGGGGGUUACUUGCUGUGUGCUGAGCUUGUGUUUGUCAGUCUGUUUGGUUUGUUUGUUUGAAGGACCGUGUGCUGUAGCUGGCAGUUGGAGGUGGAGCUACUAGGAAGGUUUGAAAGCUAGAAGCCUCUGGUAAUUGGCUGAGCCUUAACCAGUGGGCGGGGCAUUCACUCAGGCCAGGGCUUUAUAAAGCUGCGCACAAGCGACCAGGGAGCUUAGCGAACAGGAGCUGCUAACAGGGAGUUUUGCAAGGGAGUUCUCCAGGUGAAGGAGGAGCACAGACAGCAUCUGUGGGGUAGUGACUGUCUGCAGUGUUUGGGUUUGUGUGUGUGUUUGGGGGUUACUUGCUGUGUGCUGAGCUUGUGUUUGUCAGUCUGUUUGGUUUGUUUGUUUGAAGGACCGUGUGCUGUAGCUGGCAGUUGGAGGUGGAGCUACUAGGAAGGUUUGAAAGCUAGAAGCCUCUGGUAAUUGGCUGAGCCUUAACCAGUGGGCGGGGCAUUCACUCAGGCCAGGGCUUUAUAAAGCUGCGCACAAGCGACCAGGGAGCUUAGCGAACAGGAGCUGCUAACAGGGAGUUUUGCAAGGGAGUUCUCCAGGUGAAGGAGGAGCACAGACAGCAUCUGUGGGGUAAGUGACUGUCUGCAGUGUUUGGGUUUGUGUGUGUGUUUGGGGGUUACUUGCUGUGUGCUGAGCUUGUGUUUGUCAGUCUGUUUGGUUUGUUUGUUUGAAGGACCGUGUGCUGUAGCUGGCAGUUGGAGGUGGAGCUACUAGGAAGGUUUGAAAGCUAGAAGCCUCUGGUAAUUGGCUGAGCCUUAACCAGUGGGCGGGGCAUUCACUCAGGCCAGGGCUUUAUAAAGCUGCGCACAAGCGACCAGGGAGCUUAGCGAACAGGAGCUGCUAACAGGGAGUUUUGCAAGGGAGUUCUCCAGGUGAAGGAGGAGCACAGACAGCAUCUGUGGGGUAAGUGACUGUCUGCAGUGUUUGGGUUUGUGUGUGUGUUUGGGGGUUACUUGCUGUGUGCUGAGCUUGUGUUUGUCAGUCUGUUUGGUUUGUUUGUUUGAAGGACCGUGUGCUGUAGCUGGCAGUUGGAGGUGGAGCUACUAGGAAGGUUUGAAAGCUAGAAGCCUCUGGUA